rnacentral:rRNA from 1 species
GUCGUACGAGAACUCUUUAGCUUGCUAAAGAUAGUAAAGUGGCGCACGGGUGAGUAACGCGUGGGUAAUUUACCUCUGAAUUUGGGAUAACUCCGCGAAAGCGGGGCUAAUACCGGAUAAUAUUUCAGGAUCUUCGGGUUUUGAAAUCAAAAGUGGCCUCUACAUGUAAGCUACUUGUUUGGAGAUGAGCCCGCGUACCAUUAGCUUGUUGGUAGGGUAAUGGCCUACCAAGGCUACAAUGGUUAGCUGGUCUGAGAGGAUGAUCAGCCACACUGGAACUGACACACGGUCCAGACUCCUACGGGAGGCAGCAGUGAGGAAUUUUGCGCAAUGGGGAAAACCCUGACGCAGCAACGCCGCGUGAGUGAUGAAGGCUUUCGGGUCGUAAAGCUCUGUCAAGUGGGAAGAACAUGAUAAAUGUUAAUAUCAUUUUUCACUGACGGUCCACUAAAGGAAGCACCGGCUAACUCCGUGCCAGCAGCCGCGGUAAUACGGAGGGUGCAAGCGUUAUUCGGAAUAUUAGGCGUAAAGGGCGCGUAGGCGGUCUUUUCAGUCAGAUGUGAAAGCCCGGGGCUUAACCCUGAAGUGCAUUUGAAACUAAAGGACU